rnacentral:rRNA from 1 species
GAUGAACGCUGGCGGCGUGCCUAAUACAUGCAAGUCGAGCGAACAGACGAGGAGCUUGCUCCUCUGACGUUAGCGGCGGACGGGUGAGUAACACGUGGAUAACCUACCUAUAAGACUGGGAUAACUUCGGGAAACCGGAGCUAAUACCGGAUAAUAUAUUGAACCGCAUGGUUCAAUAGUGAAAGACGGUUUUGCUGUCACUUAUAGAUGGAUCCGCGCCGCAUUAGCUAGUUGGUAAGGUAACGGCUUACCAAGGCAACGAUGCGUAGCCGACCUGAGAGGGUGAUCGGCCACACGGGAGCUGAGACACGGUCCAGACUCCUACGGGAGGCAGCAGUAGGGAAUCUUCCGCAAUGGGCGAAAGCCUGACGGAACAACGCCGCGUGAGUGAUGAAGGUCUUCGGAUCGUAAAACUCUGUUAUUAGGGAAGAACAAAUGUGUAAGUAACUAUGCACGUCUUGACGGUACCUAAUCAGAAAGCCACGGCUAACUACGUG